rnacentral:rRNA from 1 species
GACGAACGCUGGCGGCGUGCUUAAUACAUGCAAGUUGAGCGCUGAGGCCUGGUACUUGUGCCGUCUUGGUGAGCAGCGCACGUGUGAGUCACGCGUGGGGACUCUGCCUUUGAGCGGGGGACCACAUUUGGAAACGAAUGCUAAUACCACAUAAAAUCCUUAAACACAAGGUUUAAGUUUGAAAGAUGCAAUUGCAUCACUCAAAGGUGAUCCCGCGUUUUAUUAGCUAGGUGGUGAGGUAAAAGCUCACCAAGGCGAGGAUACAUAGCCGACCUGAGAGGGUGAUCGGCCACAUUGGGAGUGAGACACGCCCCAAACGCCUACGGGAGGCAGCCGUAGGGAAACGUCAGCCAGGGGCGAAAGUCUGACCGCGCAACGCGGCGUGAGUGAAGAAGGUUGUCGGAUCGUAAAUCUCUGUUGGUAGAGAAGAACGCUGGUGAGAGUGGAAAGCUCAGCAAGUGACGGUAACGAGCCAGAAAGGGACGGCUAACUACGUG